rnacentral:tRNA from 1 species
AAAUAAGAAACAAUAUUUGUAUUUAGUUUCGACCUAAAAUUUUGAUUAAUUUAAUCCUUAUUUA